rnacentral:rRNA from 1 species
GUGCCAGCAGCUGCGGUUAGACUAGACGGGUAAAUGAAGGCUUAAAGUAUAAUAGUUAUGAUUGGAUAUUUAAUUUAGAUUACCCAGCUUGAAGAAAAAGAAAGUGAAAUUUACAAAUUCUUUGAUCAAGGAUAAAUAUUUUAAAAUUUUAGAAGCUAUUAAAGUUUGGGUUUAAACCAGGAUUAGAUACCCUGUUAUACCAAUUUUAGAAAGGCUUACUUGGGUAGUAAUGAGCUAUGAGCUUGAAAUCUAAAGAAUUUGGCGGUAUUUUAGUCUAGUUAGAGGAACCUGUCCCGUAAACGAUACACCACGUAGGAUCUUACUUUAUUUUGUGUGCCAGCUUGUAUACCGCCAUAAUUUGGUCAUGUUUUAAAAUAUUUUCCUAAAUAAAGAGUUUUAGUACAUUAGGUCAAGGUGCAGCUAAUAAUAAAGUGUGAGAUGGGUUACAAUAUAUUAUAUACACAACAAAUAGGAGAUUAUAAAAUCACCUGGAAGGUGGAUUUAAUAGUAAUUUCAUUUUAAUAUGAUAAGAUGAUUUUCAGCUCUAAAAUAUGUACACAUCGCCCGUCGCUCUCACUAACAAGGUGAGAUAAGUCGUAACAAAGUAGGA